rnacentral:rRNA from 1 species
AUUGAACGCUGGCGGAAUGCUUUACACAUGCAAGUCGAACGGUAGAGGGGGCAACCCCUUGAGAGUGGCGAACGGGUGAGUAAUAUAUCGGAACGUGCCCAGUCGUGGGGAUAACGUAGCGAAAGUUACGCUAAUACCGCAUACGAUCUAAGGAUGAAAGCGGGGGAUCGCAAGACCUCGCGCGAUUGGAGCGGCCGAUAUCAGAUUAGGUAGUUGGUGAGGUAAAGGCUCACCAAGCCAACGAUCUGUAGCUGGUCUGAGAGGACGACCAGCCACACUGGAACUGAGACACGGCCCAGACUCCUACGGGAGGCAGCAGUGGGGAAUUUUUGGACAAUGGGCGCAAGCCUGAUCCAGCAAUGCCGCGUGCAGGAUGAAGGCCU